CAGUAGAAUUUUAAUGGAGGUUGAAGGCUAUGGAAAUGUUUUCUCCACAUCAAUUUUCUCAUGAUCUAAUUAAAAACAUUAGGAUUUUUGGAAGGAAGAUGAAUCACGUUUUGAACCACUCAAGGAGCCUAUUGAAGGCAAUCUGAAUACACUAAAAGAGCUUGAUGAAAUUGGCAAGCUAUUUGAAGAGGGGUUUAAACUUUGAAAUUCAUGUACCUUCAAAUGAUCCAUUUAAUUCUACCAUUCAAAUGGUGGAUUGUGCAUAUAUAGAUGUUGCACUUGAAAAUUCAUCUUGACAGGCACUGAGAAGAUUGAUAUUGCUUUUUUCACUAGAUUUUUGAAAAAUAAAAUUGUUUGCACUUUUUAGUCUUUA